GAUGAACGCUGACAGAAUGCUUAACACAUGCAAGUCUUUGGCGAAGCUGUGCUUGCACAGCCUAGCCAAGGCGGACGGGUGAGUAACGCGUAAGGAACUUGCCCUGCAGUCAGGGAUAACAGACGGAAACGACUGAUAAUACCUGGUAAAGUCAGGCGGACUCAUGUCCAGCCUGAUGAAAAGAGAUGCUGCAGGAGAGCCUUGCGUCCUAUUAGCUUGUUGUUGGGGUAACGGCCCCCCAAGGCGAUGUUAGGUACCCGGCCUGAGAGGGUGGACGGCCACAAGGGGACUGAGAGACGGACCAGACGGCUACGGGAGGCAACAGGGGGGAAUAUUGGACAAUGGGGGCAAGCCUGAUCAAGAAAUUCUGUGUGUACGAAGAAGGUUUUGGGAGUGUAAAGGGCUGUAAGCAGGGAAGAAAAAAAAUGACGGUACCUGCAGAAGAAGCGACGGCUAAAUACGUG
rnacentral:rRNA from 1 species